UUAAGUUAUUAAGGGCGCACGGUGGAUGCCUUGGCACUAGAAGCCGAUGAAGGACGUUACUAACGACGAUAUGCUUUGGGGAGCUGUAAGUAAGCUUUGAUCCAGAGAUUUCCGAAUGGGGAAACCCAGCAUGAGUUAUGUCAUGUUAUCGAUAUGUGAAUACAUAGCAUAUCAGAAGGCACACCCGGAGAACUGAAACAUCUUAGUACCCGGAGGAAGAGAAAGAAAAUUCGAUUCCCUUAGUAGCGGCGAGCGAAACGGGAAGAGCCCAAACCAAAAAGCUUGCUUGUUGGGGUUGUAGGACACUCUAUACGGAGUUACAAAGGACGACAUUAGACGAAUCAUCUGGAAAGAUGAAUCAAAGAAGGUAAUAAUCCUGUAGUCGAAAAUGUUGUCUCUCUUGAGUGGAUCCUGAGUACGACGGAGCACGUGAAAUUCCGUCGGAAUCUGGGAGGACCAUCUCCUAAGGCUAAAUACUCUCUAGUGACCGAUAGUGAACCAGUACCGUGAGGGAAAGGUGAAAAGCACCCCGGAAGGGGAGUGAAAUAGAACCUGAAACCGUGUGCUUACAAGUAGUCAGAGCCCGUUAAUGGGUGAUGGCGUGCCUUUUGUAGAAUGAACCGGCGAGUUACGAUUUGAUGCAAGGUUAAGCAGUAAAUGUGGAGCCGUAGCGAAAGCGAGUCUGAAUAGGGCGUUUAGUAUUUGGUCGUAGACCCGAAACCAGGUGAUCUACCCUUGGUCAGGUUGAAGUUCAGGUAACACUGAAUGGAGGACCGAACCGACUUACGUUGAAAAGUGAGCGGAUGAACUGAGGGUAGCGGAGAAAUUCCAAUCGAACCUGGAGAUAGCUGGUUCUCUCCGAAAUAGCUUUAGGGCUAGCCUCAAGUGAUGAUUAUUGGAGGUAGAGCACUGUUUGGACGAGGGGCCCCUCUCGGGUUACCGAAUUCAGACAAACUCCGAAUGCCAAUUAAUUUAACUUGGGAGUCAGAACAUGGGUGAUAAGGUCCGUGUUCGAAAGGGAAACAGCCCAGACCACCAGCUAAGGUCCCAAAAUAUAUGUUAAGUGGAAAAGGAUGUGGCGUUGCCCAGACAACUAGGAUGUUGGCUUAGAAGCAGCCAUCAUUUAAAGAGUGCGUAAUAGCUCACUAGUCGAGUGACACUGCGCCGAAAAUGUACCGGGGCUAAACAUAUUACCGAAGCUGUGGAUUGUCCUUUGGACAAUGGUAGGAGAGCGUUCUAAGGGCGUUGAAGCAUGAUCGUAAGGACAUGUGGAGCGCUUAGAAGUGAGAAUGCCGGUGUGAGUAGCGAAAGACGGGUGAGAAUCCCGUCCACCGAUUGACUAAGGUUUCCAGAGGAAGGCUCGUCCGCUCUGGGUUAGUCGGGUCCUAAGCUGAGGCCGACAGGCGUAGGCGAUGGAUAACAGGUUGAUAUUCCUGUACCACCUAUAAUCGUUUUAAUCGAUGGGGGGACGCAGUAGGAUAGGCGAAGCGUGCGAUUGGAUUGCACGUCUAAGCAGUAAGGCUGAGUAUUAGGCAAAUCCGGUACUCGUUAAGGCUGAGCUGUGAUGGGGAGAAGACAUUGAGUCUUCGAGUCGUUGAUUUCACACUGCCGAGAAAAGCCUCUAGAUAGAAAAUAGGUGCCCGUACCGCAAACCGACACAGGUAGUCAAGAUGAGAAUUCUAAGGUGAGCGAGCGAACUCUCGUUAAGGAACUCGGCAAAAUGACCCCGUAACUUCGGGAGAAGGGGUGCUCUUUAGGGUUAACGCCCAGAAGAGCCGCAGUGAAUAGGCCCAAGCGACUGUUUAUCAAAAACACAGGUCUCUGCUAAACCGUAAGGUGAUGUAUAGGGGCUGACGCCUGCCCGGUGCUGGAAGGUUAAGAGGAGUGGUUAGCUUCUGCGAAGCUACGAAUCGAAGCCCCAGUAAACGGCGGCCGUAACUAUAACGGUCCUAAGGUAGCGAAAUUCCUUGUCGGGUAAGUUCCGACCCGCACGAAAGGCGUAACGAUUUGGGCACUGUCUCAACGAGAGACUCGGUGAAAUCAUAGUACCUGUGAAGAUGCAGGUUACCCGCGACAGGACGGAAAGACCCCGUGGAGCUUUACUGUAGCCUGAUAUUGAAAUUCGGCACAGCUUGUACAGGAUAGGUAGGAGCCUUUGAAACGUGAGCGCUAGCUUACGUGGAGGCGCUGGUGGGAUACUACCCUAGCUGUGUUGGCUUUCUAACCCGCACCACUUAUCGUGGUGGGAGACAGUGUCA
rnacentral:rRNA from 2 species